rnacentral:rRNA from 1 species
UACGUAGGGGGCAAGCGUUGUCCGGAAUCAUUGGGCGUAAAGAGCGCGUAGGCGGCCCUGUAAGUCCGCUGUGAAAGUCAAGGGCUCAACCCUUGAAUGCCGGUGGAUACUGCAGGGCUAGAGUCCGGAAGAGGCGAGUGGAAUUCCUGGUGUAGCGGUGAAAUGCGCAGAUAUCAGGAGGAACACCGAUGGCGAAGGCAGGUCUCUGGGCAUUAACUGACGCUGAGGAGCGAAAGCAUGGGGAGCGAACAGG